ACGGAAGUGGCGUGUAGGGCAUACGCAACGGAUACCGUGGAGACAAUAAGUGCACUAAAACUCCUAUAUCGCAGGUUCGAAUCCUGUCUUCCGUA
rnacentral:tRNA from 1 species